AACCCACGCAGCAGAAAACUGACAGCAGGAACAGAGGAUGCUGACCUAGUUUGCCAGAACAAAGCCCCACUGAUCUUGGAUGCCAAUAGCUCUUCAUUUGUUCACAUAGAAGAAAAUUAGAAGGAGGAGGAGGAGAGAAGAAAGCUCUGUCAUCAAGUAUUCCCAGCUUCCUAAUUGAUGUCCUGGUUUUUCUCUUCCAAGAAUCUUCUCCAUACUUCUCCAGGUUGGUCUUUCAAAAACAUAAAU
rnacentral:lncRNA from 1 species